rnacentral:rRNA from 1 species
CCUACGGGUGGCAGCAGUGGGGAAUAUUGCACAAUGGGGGAAACCCUGAUGCAGCGACGCCGCGUGAGUGAAGAAGUAUUUCGGUAUGUAAAGCUCUAUCAGCAGGGAAGAAAAAGACGGUACCUGUUUAAGAAGCCACGUCUAACUACGUUCCAGCAGCCCCGGUAAUACGUAGGGGGCAAGCGUUAUCCGGAUUUACUGGGUGUAAAGGGAGCGUAGACGGGAGGACAAGUCCGUAGUGAAAGGCCGGGGCUUAACCUUGGAACUGCAUUGGAAACUGUGCAGCUUGAGUGCAGGAGAGGUAGGUGGAAUUCGUGGUGUAGCGGUGAAAUGCUUAGAUAUUAGGAGGAACACCAGUGGCGAAGGCGGCUUACUGGACUGUAACUGACGUUGAGGCUCGAAAGUGUGGGGAGCAAACAGGAUUAGAUACCCGUGUAGUC